rnacentral:tRNA from 1 species
CAGAUUAACUUAAAAGUUAAGUUUUUCAUUUACACUGAAAUUUUUAUUGUGCAAUUCAAUAUAAUCUGA